rnacentral:rRNA from 1 species
GAUGAACGCUGGCGGCGUGCCUAAUACAUGCAAGUCGAGCGAACAGACGAGGAGCUUGCUCCUCUGACGUUAGCGGCGGACGGGUGAGUAACACGUGGAUAACCUACCUAUAAGACUGGGAUAACUUCGGGAAACCGGAGCUAAUACCGGAUAAUAUAUUGAACCGCAUGGUUCAAUAGUGAAAGACGGGUUUGGUGUCACUUAUAGAUGGAUCCGCGCCGCAUUAGCUAGUUGGUAAGGUAACGGCUUACCAAGGCAACGAUGCGUAGCCGACCUGAGAGGGUGAUCGGCCACACUGGAACUGAGACACGGUCCAGACUCCUACGGGAGGCAGCAGUAGGGAAUCUUCCGCAAUGGGCGAAAGCCUGACGGAGCAACGCCGCGUGAGUGAUGAAGGUCUUCGGAUCGUAAAACUCUGUUAUUAGGGAAGAACAAAUGUGUAAGUAACUAUGCACGUCUUGACGGUACCUAAUCAGAAAGCCACGGCUAACUACGUG